UACGUAGGGGGCAAGCGUUGUCCGGAUUUAUUGGGCGUAAAGAGCGUGUAGGCGGCCAUGUAGGUCCGUUGUGAAAACUCGAGGCUCAACCUCGAGACGCCGAUGGAAACCAUGUGGCUAGAGUCCGGAGGAGGAGAGUGGAAUUCCUGGUGUAGCGGUGAAAUGCGCAGAUAUCGGGAAGAACACCUAUGGCGAAGGCAGCUCUCUGGGACGGUACUGACGCUGAGACGCGAAAGCGUGGGAGCGAACAGG
rnacentral:rRNA from 1 species